AAACUAUUCAUAGAAAACUCUUCUUUUUUUUCUACAGCUUGAACCACUUUAUCAGCGAGAGUUUGCUUCUUCAUUCCGAGACUUCACUGUGAGGUCAUUUAGUAAUGGGUCAAUCAUCAACAAUAUUGACCUCAAAUUUGCAUUAGCAACAGCUCCUAAUAACACCCAGAUAUCAAAGGUUUUGGUCAAUGCAGCUUCAACCAUCACAGCUUUCAACAUCGACACCAGUUCCAUUACUGUUGAUGGCACACAGACGUCAAGUGGAGUAAGCCAGAAUAUCAGCCUCAUCACUGCAUUCAGCAUGAUCUUGCUGUCAUGGCUCCUGUCAAGCCAGUAAUAAUUGGCUCUGCUGGUUUUCACAGAAAGCAAAUGCUAAAAAAAUUUAACUAUUUCUGGUAUGAACAAGGAUGUUGUUCUAAUUGGAAACUAGGAAUUCAUCAUGAAUUUAAAGUUUUAAGCUUUUAUUGAGACUUGAUACCAUAGAUCCGAAUAUUGUGCAAUUAGAAUUGAGGCUAUUGAAAUUUGUUUGUGUUAGUUUUGUCGUAUUUAUUAAUGCAAAAUUAAAUAUUAUGUAACAAUAACAUAAAUUAUUAUCUUUGAAUGUAACCAUUGUGGUAAUACUCAAGGACAGUUUAAUUGACAGUUCAUGCAAUACUCAAGAUUUGUCUCUCAGUGUAUUUUGCAAUGUUAUUUAAACAUGUUGUCCAAACAACGUCCUGAAUGAUUAUCCAGUUUUUUCUUUCUCCUUUAAUUGUAUUUAUAUCUCAAAAUAUUCUGUGAAACAUUAUGCCUAUAUUUUUCUGUAUAACUAUCAA